AGUGCCCCCUAGCGUAUGUAUCGUUUCUGCCUCAAAUCAACAUUCAAUUCGGAGGAGCCUUCCGACAUGGAAACUGCCUGGGUCUCUCGUCUCUCACAGUGACCAAAGUAGCGUGCGCCCAUUUCUAACUGAUUCAUAUUUAAGAAAAUGUCUUCUUAUUGACUUGGACGUCAUCGAGGUAUGCGUGUUGAUCACUGUUUCGCCUUUUCAUAAACAUAGCCUGAGCUCCGUAGGCACAGGGAUUUUUUGUAUUUUGCUUUUAAUCAUUGAUUGAUAUAGGCUGAUAAUUGGUCUUGAGCGUAACACUUUCAUUCUAAAGCAAACUGCAUGGUCUAAAUGAUAUCACUGUCUGCAGUUUAUUGUAUUGUUUUAUUGUGGAUUCUACCUGACCACUCCAUUGGUGAGUAUGAACAUUUUGGCAUAUUUGUUUCAUGAAGGAAAUGUUUGAAUGUGAAAACAUGCUUGGCAUAAGGCAAUUGUUUCGGUCGUAAAUAGAACGACUAUCAAAAUGGAUACAUCAAAAAGCUGUUUAGUCAUAAAACACAUUUCUAGCAUAAAACAUCACAAAAACCUCAUGAACCUUACCAGGCGCAGGCAUAAAGAUACUAUAACGCAUAACAUGCUAAUUAUUGUCUAAUUAAAUGUUAAUGGGAAUACAUAUUGAGCAGAAACACAUUAUGUAUACGCCUAAAGGCACCUAUAUGUGCUAAAAAAUAUAUAUUGUGAGAUUAUUGUAGACAAUAAUUGUAUAGGCUAUUCUCACAAACGUACCAAAUGCAUAGGUCGAUUCGUCCGCAGCGUGAUGCAUCUUCUGUCUUAUCAGAAUAUACUAGUCUUCUCUUUCUUUUCGAUAUAAUGUCGAGAAUAGACGGGAAGGUGUACUUUCCACCAGAUGGAAUGAAUCACAAAAAUACUUUAUUUGAAGAACAAUAAGCAAAAAACGUAAGACUGACAAAGGAUUAAUCACAGUCACUACAUUUUUAAACUUAUGUGCUGAACUUAAACCUUGUAAUGUAAAUUGUCUUGUCUUCAUAACAUAAGUAAGCGGUUGUUAUGGCUGUCUUUAAAAAUGACACAAGUCAAAGAGCAAGAAAAUGCUCCUGUGCGUCUUUCCUUUCUGUCCUACUGUAGGCUAGGCUAUGGGUUAAAACGCGCCUGUAUGCCGCUGCUUUUAGUGGGCUGGAUGGGAGGGGUGAAGUCAGACUACACAUAGUCAGACACCUGUCUGUUUGUAUUGAAACUAGGGAUGCUUUUAUACAUUAUCACUUCAUUUAUGUUAGAAUCAUGAACGUAAAUUAAUUUGACAACAAUAUAUUAUGAAUCGAUGAGCUGACAGAAGCGGAUAACCAAAACUUGUAAAAUGUGAUAUAGCAAAAUAACAAUGAAACACAUAUGUUGAAAGCUAAAAUAAUUAAUUAAAUGAAACAGAAAUUAAUAUCAGUUUUAGAUGGCAGAUGCGGUGACACGAAAACUAUUAUUAUUAUUAUUAUUAUUAUUAUUAUUAUUAGGCUAUAAUUAUUAUUACAGCAAUGAUACCGGUAACAAUUGCAAUUAUUGGUAGGCCAAUUAUUGCUGUUUUAAUAUUAUGACUAUUAUUAUUUUUGUUGCGGUUGACAAAACACUAACUGUUGUUAUUGAACAGGGGAAGGAGAGGAUUGCUUUCAAAUAGGCGCAUUUCAAUUGACAGAUAUAGCUUCUCUGAUAGUAGGAUCUCAUCCUCAUAUGUCUACAAAUGUACUUCCAUUAACACAGAGAGAGAAAGACAGGGAGGGAGGGGGAGAAAAGGGGGAAAGAGUGUGAUGUGACAUGACCUCUACAGAGAGAGAGAGAGAGAGAGAGAGAGAGAGAGAGAGAAAGAGAGAGAGACUAGAUGGUUGUAGAUAUGCAGUUUUUGUUCCUAAAACUGUGAAGUUUACGUUUUCAAAUGGCCUUAAUUGCCCUUCACGCAUUCAUAUAUAAACCGUUACUUUUGUAGAUCAGCCGGGUUAGGCCUAUAGAGUCAUGUCUGGACAACGAAAAUUGUAAAGAAAUACAACUAGUGGGCCAACAUUCUAUGUGAUGUUUUGUGAGUUGAAAAGUAGGCUGCUAAAAUCUUUGUCCUAUACUUUUUCACAUUAUCUGGAUAAAUGCAGGCCCUAUGUCUAUGAAGAAUCAAUGAUAGAGUUACAAAAAGCAUUUUAUUUCUCUGUGCUGGUGCACUUCUUGGGGAAAAUGCUCUCCUCAAGACAGAAUAUCAAGCAUAGGGGCACGGGAAGCCACUAUACGCAAUAGCGCACCUACAUCGAUUAGGACGAGACUCGAGGAUGACGCUGACUCGCCACACUAAAUAGUUACUGAUCACACACAAAUUGCAGGAUCUUUAACGAUUUGUCAUGCUCAUAGCACGGAAAAGCGGUAAAUCACUUUAUUAUUGUUUGUAAAACAAUGCGCGCACAGAUGAGCGCAGUUCGAUAGAGAGUGAAUGGCCGAGUCAGUGGUUGAGAUUCAUGGUCGUCCUUUGAAAAAGCUUUCACUCGUGUUACAGGUUAAACUAACAAAUGAAAAACAGUACACCUUUUGUUCAACUAAAAUCACGUGUAGUCAAUGAAUUGACGGACAUUUUGAAAAAUGUGUUGCCUACAGCCCUACUUGUUGACGGAGCUGCACUCAAACACAAAAGUAUAUGCAUUACCUCCUAACUUAACUAUAUUUGAUAGAAAAGGGCCUGUAUGUAUUCUGAAUCUAUUCUGAAUAAUAAUGUAGGCUUUAAGGAGUCGGCAAUCCUGGAAUAGUGGGAUCAGGCGGGGGCAGGUUAGCCUCCGUGCAUUGGGGAGAGGCAGCAAGACAAGGAUGAAAGUUCACUUUAAUCUUAUCUUUGCCUUCAGCAAGUCCUUCAGAGGGAUACUGACCUGAAGGUCUCUGAGAUCCCAGCCUGAUUAACCCCUCCAGACCCGACUGGGUGCAAAGGUUAACCCGGCUAAUCAAGUUGAAGAGGCUGAUUGAAUUAGAUGACAAGGAGUCAAGGGGGAAACAACUGUCCUCCCCCAAAAAAGUCAGAGGCCAACCACUGGCAACACUUUAGUCUGUGUGAAUCUCACUCUAUAACCUAUAGGCUUAUCAGCAAUCCAAAAAUGGGAAUAAACAAAUGUCUAGUUGAAUCUCCACAACAAUUAUCCUAGUGUUGAAGUAUUUACUUGGAAGUUAUUAAUUAAAAUCUAUGCAUAGUCAUAGCUCUGUAUUACAGAAACAAGUUAUAUAUUUUUGUAGAUAGUGGAGUUAUGUUCUCUUCGCAUAAUUUCUGACUUUUUAGCUCCUAGUGUCAUUUUUUCAGUUAUGAACAAAUUCAUAUUUACAAUGUAUUACCUACACCAUCCCAAUUGUACACCACCCUAUGGGACACACAAUCACAGCCAGUUGUGAUACAGCCUGGAUUUGAACCAGGGUAUCUGUUGUGAUGCCUCUAGCACUAAAAUGCAGUGCCUUAGACCACUGCAUCACUCGGGAGCCCUGUGUUCUAAUGUAAUUUGUCCUGGGAUAUAACUUGUAUUUUUCCCUCGGCCCUCAUUUCCUUCCAACAGAAUUGACAUUGAUUCAAUGGCUCUCUUCAUUGAAGCAGUUUGACAGGUGGACAGACAGCCCUCACAAAUGAGCUCUAAUAAUCUGUGACAGGAUAGGAGCUCUAGUGGCCCUGCCCUUUAUUGGUCUUUCUUCUUGAGUGGCAUGUCAACUAUCCUUAAAAACAAACAUGUACAUUUCUCAACUUUCUCUUAAAAACAUAGUCAUGCAGUGUCACAUAUGAUUCUAAUUCCACUAUGAUAAAGUUUAUAAUGGACCAUUCAAGUGGGGACGUUAUGGUCAAAUUCAUGCUUCUCAGACUCAUUUUCAGACUAUUAACUUUGUAGAUAAAUUAGUACAUGAAAACAUGAAACAUGAAGUCCUGACGCUUUUGCUAUACGCAGAGUGCAGCAUGAGAGCACAUUGUUCUGUGAAGAACGGCUCAGCCUCCGUCUCCAUAAUUCCCAAAGCAACAGAGUUGUCUUAAUGCUGAAGGUAAUGUUGUUGAACAAAUUACAACAUAUUUGGGCAUCAAGCCAGGCUUCUUUGCGGAUAAAAACAUGAUUUUAUUUAAUUUGGUUGUAACUGUAUUAUAGGCUUUUGAAUAGUUACAUAGAUUAGAGGAAUUACUUUCAGGGAUUCUUAGUGUGACUUUUACAUAUAUACUGUAGAACUUGAUGCUACUGUAUUACUUUAAGGUAAACUUAGUCAAUCGUAUCAAACUAUUAUAAUCUAUACAAAUAAGUAGUGUCUCAUAAGGCUAUGUGACUUAAAUUAUUCAUUGAAAUGUUGCACUUAUUUAUUAUGCAUCCUUGAGAUACACAAUCUACUUGCAAGUGUCAUUAUAUUUGUCCGGGUAUCUUCCAUUUGUAAAUGUUUUUCUAAGCAUGAUUACACAUUAUUAUUUUGAUUACAUUGAUUAUGAAUACGUGCACUUUGUUAAGGCAUCUUGUGUGUGUAUAGCAAUGUCAUAUCUACACCAACAUCUUAAACAUGACUGAUCUCAUGAAUUUAGCAUUGAAGGAGUGUUUACUGCACUUCAUAAAUAGUUUGUUCUUGAAUAUUCAUUGUUUAAUAGUCAGCAGAUUAUUUGUCCAUCUUUAAUAAAACAAAUCAGAUUAAAGUAGAAUCUUCUGUUGCUUUUAGGUGAAAGAGGAGAUUGUGGGUAAAACACAUGCCUAAAUGGCAAAGACCUGGGCAAAAUGAAAGUGACUGGUGACCUCCACUUGACAGAUCUGCUCCUGGCUUUCCUGAGUGUCAGACUGCUGAGACAUGAAGAAGACCAACCUGCUGACUCAGGAUCCACCUCAACACAGAGGUCCCCCUUUGGCCUUCAGCUCAUCAAUUCAAUUAAUAUGUUCAUUUCAAUAAAGCCAAAAUGGAAAAUUAUCCAUUUAAAAGUAAGGCACUUUCCAUUGAAACAAGGGAAACCCCACAUUUGUGUGGUUGAGCCAUGAAUCAUCAUAUGGCAUGUGUGGCGAUUGCAUUUAGAGAGUGAUCAGAGACAGUACCAAAGACUGGAAACAUCCCAUACUCGGCACUAGAUUUAAUGAGUGCCGAGUUGUAGUAUUUACAACAGUGCCAAAAAGGCUCAGCUAUGUUCAGGAAGCAUGUGAAGUGUCUGCAAUAAAAAAACAUUGUCAAACAAGAUUUGGGAACAAUUACAUAGACAGAUAGUGUAAUGUUUAUAUGAUCCCCCCAAACCAGAGCAGCUGCAGUAACCAGACCAGCAACAUAACCAUGCCCCAUGUGACUACGUCUUUCAUCUAGUUGAGAGGCCAGUAGUUUGUUAAUUUUACAUCAGUUCUCACAAUUUAUCAUGCCUACACUGUGAAACAUUUCAACAAUUGUACUUACAUUGUGGCCAAACGUCUUGAACUUCAGAUGAACAAUUGGACAUUGCUUGUUGUUGACUAGGGUAAUCACUAGCUACCAUGCAUGCAGCUUUGGCUAUUAUGUGUCAUUGCUAUUUUAGAAGUAACCACUGUAAGUUUCUCAUUGCUAGCUAUUUGAACUAACAUUAACGGUAGUUUGUGACAUCCAACCUUUAUGGGUGUGAUGUGAUAUACUAAAUACAUUGGACAUGAAUGCGUAUAAUUUUGUAUCCGGGACAAAACAUUAUUGUGACGGUAUCAGCUGUGCAUGCCGGAGAACUUUCCGCAACACAGUUGUUGGCAAAAAUGUGGGUUUUACACAUCAUAAUUAUCACCUUUAACAGUUGAAGUAGCAAAAAUCUAGGAUGAAGUUGUAUAUCUAAAUAAUUUACUGUACCAGGCAUAGGAAAGGUAAUAUAUUGCAAGUAACUAAAGGAAUGUUAAGGUAAAGCUACAAAAUAACAAUAUUUUAAACUGUCUAGCCACCCUUGAAACUCCUACACAUCUUGUUCGAAAUGGCAGCUCUAUCAAGAUAAUCAUCUGAAUGAAUCUGUUACACCACGA